GUCUAUGGCCACAUCAUCCUGAACACAUCCAAUCUCAGAAGCUAAACAUGAAAGAAAAAAAAGAAGCAGCUAAGCAGGACUGGGCCUGGUUAGUACUUGAAUGGGAGACCACCAGAAAAUAUUGGGUGCUAUCUAUA
ensembl:rRNA 5S_rRNA 5S ribosomal RNA